GGUUGAUCCUGCCAGUAGUCAUAUGCUUGUCUCAAAGAUUAAGCCAUGCAUGUCUAAGUAUAAACACCUUUAUACAGUGAAACUGCAGAUGGCUCAUUAAAUCAGUUAUAUGCAAUCGCGCGAGUGCGCCGCCAACAACACGCUGCCAGCGUGCCUACGCUGUGUGCUGUUUUCGCCGCCAAACAUGCACGGUGGCGUGUUGCGCUCUCCCUUCGCUUCUCAUCGGCUCGUCCAUGCCGUGAGAAGCACGCCCUUCGCCGACGCGCUGU
rnacentral:rRNA from 1 species